GGGCCCGCACAAGCAGCGGAGCGUGUGGUUUAAUUCGAGGCUACACGAAGAACCUUACCUGGGUUUGACAUAUAGGUAGUAGGGAACUGAAAAGGGACCGACCUUCGGGAGCCUAUACAGGUGCUGCAUGGCUGUCGUCAGCUCGUGCCGUGAGGUGUUCGGUUAAGUCCGCAAACGAGCGCAACCCCUGGUGCUAGUUACACGUGUCUAGCGCGACUGCCCGUGAGAAACGGGAGGAAGGUGGGGAUGACGUCAAGUCAGCAUGGCCUUUAUAUCCAGGGCUACACACACGCUACAAUGGGCGGUACAAUGGGUCGCGAAGCCGCGAGGUGGAGCCAAUCCUGAAAGCCGUUCGUAGUUCGGAUUGCAGGCUGCAACUCGCCUGCAUGAAGUCGGAGUUGCUAGUAACCGCAGGUCAGCUAUACUGCGGUGAAUACGUUCCCGGGCCUU
rnacentral:rRNA from 1 species